GUGACCGUAGCUCAACGGUAGAGCGCUGGACUGUGGAUCCAGCGGCGGCGGGUUCGACUCCCCCCGGUCACCC
rnacentral:tRNA from 1 species